UCUGGUGUCCUAGGCGUAGAGGAACCACACCAAUCCAUCCCGAAUUUGGUGGUUAAACUCUACUGCGGUGACGAUACUGUAGGGGAGGUCCUGCGGCAAAAUAGCUCUAUGCCAGAA
rnacentral:rRNA from 1 species